GGGCCAGUGGCGCAAUGGAGAACGCGUCUGACUACGGAUCAGAAGAUUGUAGGUUCGACUCCUACCUGGCAGGUUGUCA